CCUACGGGACGCAGCAGUGAGGAAUAUUGGUCAAUGGGCGGAAGCCUGAACCAGCCAAGUCGCGUGAGGGAAUAAGGCCCUACGGGUCGUAAACCUCUUUUGCCGGGGAGCAAGGGCGGGGACGUGUCCCGGCCCGGAGAGUACCCGGAGAAAAAGCAUCGGCUAACUCCGUGCCAGCAGCCGCGGUAAUACGUAGGUGGCAAGCGUUAUCCGGAUUUAUUGGGUGUAAAGGGCGUGUAGGCGGGAAUGCAAGUCAGAUGUGAAAACUAUGGGCUCAACCCAUAGCCUGCAUUUGAAACUGUAUU
rnacentral:rRNA from 1 species